rnacentral:lncRNA from 1 species
CUCUGCUCUUUCUCGGCAUGGAAUUGAAUUGGUUUUUAGCAACAUUGCAUCUUGAUCAAAGUUCCCUGUUUGAUACCCUGGGCUGUCUUUUGAUCUGUGGAGGGAGCUGCAUUGAACUUCAAGAGAGUGUCCCACUUUUCUUUUCACCAGAACUUCAUGGUAAGGAUCAAAACCUAAUUUCUUCUUUAUGCUCACAAGGUUCUGG